ACAUCUGGUGACCCCGACGUGAUCCAGACACAAGACCCCCGACUCAUCGGCUGGCUUAGCCUUGGUGCACCACAGCGCAACGCGCUCCCUCCGCCGGCCGGACCCGGCCAGGCGAGUCGUGCCGGCGGAUUUGGUUCUACUCGCGUUAAUCUGGAGCAAGGUCCCCUUUUUCAUCCACAGAUUGCUGCAGUAUUACAACACAUCCGAACCCACAAACCGACCCUUUUUAUCUAGAGCCCAGCGCCAUUAUAGACAGACCGAGCCCCUUCCGGCGCCGAAGGUGAUAUAUCGCAAGCUGCCAGGACCAGAG